rnacentral:rRNA from 1 species
GACGAACGCUGGCGGCGUGCUUAACACAUGCAAGUCGAGCGGUAAGGCCCUUUCGGGGGUACACGAGCGGCGAACGGGUGAGUAACACGUGGGUGACCUGCCCUCAGCUCUGGGAUAAGCCUGGGAAACCGGGUCUAAUACUGGAUAUGACUCCAUGACGCAUGUUGGUGGGGUGGAAAGCCUUGUGCGGCUGAGGAUGGGCCCGCGGCCUAUCAGCUUGUUGGUGGGGUGANGGCCUACCAAGGCGACGACGGGUAGCCGGCCUGAGAGGGCGACCGGCCACACUGGGACUGAGACACGGCCCAGACUCCUACGGGAGGCAGCAGUGAGGAAUAUUGGUCAAUGGGCCGAAAGGCUGAACCAGCAACGCCGCGUGAGGGAUGAAGAUCUAAGGAUCGUAAACCUCUGUUAGAAGGGACGAA